rnacentral:rRNA from 1 species
GACGAACCGUACAAACGUUACUCGGAAUUACUGGGCUUAAAGGGUGCGUAGGCUGCGCGGAAAGUUGGGUGUGAAAUCCCUCGGCUCAACCGAGGAAUUGCAUCCAAAACUACCGUGCUCGAGGGAGAUAGAGGUGAGCGGAACUCAAGGUGGAGCGGUGAAAUGCGUUGAUAUCUUGAGGAACACCGGUGGCGAAAGCGGCUCACUGGAUCUCUUCUGACGCUGAGGCACGAAAGCCAAGGUAGCAAACGGGAUUAGAUAUCCCGGUAGUCUUGGCUGUAAACGAUGAGCACUUGUUUGAAGGGUCCUCCAUAGCCUUUCAGACGUAGCGAAAGUGUUAAGUGCUCCGCCUGGGGAGUAUGGUCGCAAGGCUGGAACUCAAAGAAAUUGACGGGGGCUCACACAAGCGGUGGAGGAUGUGGCUUAAUUCGAGGCUACGCGAAGAACCUUAUCCUAGUCUUGACAUGUAUGGAUUAACCCUGUGAAAGCAGGGCCACGCCUUCGGGUGGAACAUACACAGGUGCUGCAUGGCUGUCGUCAGCUCGUGUCGUGAGAUGUUGGGUUAAGUCCCGCAACGAGCGCAACCCUUGCCAUUAAUUGCCAUCAUUUAGUUGGGCACUUUAAUGGGACUGCCGGUGACAAACCGGAGGAAGGUGGGGAUGACGUCAAGUCCUCAUGGCCCUUAUGGCUAGGGCUUCACACGUAAUACAAUGGUCGGUACAGAGGGUCGCCAACCCGCAAGGGGGAGCCAAUCCCAGAAAGCCGAUCGUAGUCCGGAUUGUUGUCUGCAACUCGACAGCAUGAAGUCGGAAUCGCUAGUAAUCGCGGAUCAGCAUGUCGCGGCGAAUACGUUCCCGGGCCU